UACGGGGGGGGCAAGCGUUGUUCGGAAUUACUGGGCGUAAAGGGCUCGUAGGCGGCCAACUAAGUCAGACGUGAAAUCCCUCGGCUUAACCGGGGAACUGCGUCUGAUACUGGAUGGCUUGAGGUUGGGAGAGGGAUGCGGAAUUCCAGGUGUAGCGGUGAAAUGCGUAGAUAUCGGGAGGAACACCAGUGGCGAAGGCGGCUACCUGGCACAUAACUGACGCUGAGACGCGAAAGCGUGGGGAGCGAACAGG
rnacentral:rRNA from 1 species